rnacentral:rRNA from 1 species
CCCUUAGAUGUUCUGGGCCGCACACGCGCUACACUGAAGGAGGCAGCGUGUACUCCUGGAUCGAAAGAUUUGGGUAACCCGCGAAUCUCCUUCGUGCUAGGGAUUGAGGUUUGCAAUUAUCCUUCAUGAACGAGGAAUUCCCAGUAAGUGCAAGUCAUAAGCUUGCGCUGACUAUGUCCCUGCCCUUUGUACACACCGCCCGUCGCUACUACCGAUUGAAUGAUUUAGUGAGGACUUCGGACUGGGACCGAUGCGGCUUUCGGGCUGCGUCGGUAUUCUGGAAAGAUGUCCAAACUGUAUCAUUUAGAGGAAGUAAAANUCGUAACA